UACCGCAUAGAUCCAAGAACCGCAUGGUUCUUGGCUGAAAGAUGGCGUAAGCUAUCGCUUUUGGAUGGACCCGCGGCGUAUUAGCUAGUUGGUGAGGUAAUGGCUCACCAAGGCGAUGAUACGUAGCCGAACUGAGAGGUUGAUCGGCCACAUUGGGACUGAGACACGGCCCAAACUCCUACGGGAGGCAGCAGUAGGGAAUCUUCCACAAUGGACGCAAGUCUGAUGGAGCAACGCCGCGUGAGUGAAGAAGGCUUUCGGGUCGUAAAACUCUGUUGUUGGAGAAGAAUGGUCGGCAGAGUAACUGUUGUCGGCGUGACGGUAUCCAACCAGAAAGCCACGGCUAACUACGUGCCAGCAGCCGCGGUAAUACGUAGGUGGCAAGCGUUAUCCGGAUUUAUUGGGCGUAAAGCGAGCGCAGGCGGUUUUUUAAGUCUGAUGUGAAAGCCCUCGGCUUAACCGAGGAAGCGCAUCGGAAACUGGGAAACUUGAGUGCAGAAGAGGACAGUGGAACUCCAUGUGUAGCGGUGAAAUGCGUAGAUAUAUGGAAGAACACCAGUGGCGAAGGCGGCUGUCUGGUCUGUAACUGACGCUGAGGCUC
rnacentral:rRNA from 1 species